rnacentral:rRNA from 1 species
UACGAAGGGGGCUAGCGUUGCUCGGAAUGACUGGGCGUAAAGGGCGCGUAGGCGGACUGCACAGUCAGGCGUGAAAUUCCUGGGCUUAACCUGGGGACUGCGUCUGAGACGUGUGAUCUAGAGUGAGGAAGAGGGUCGUGGAAUUUCCAGUGUAGAGGUGAAAUUCGUAGAUAUUGGAAAGAACACCGGUGGCGAAGGCGGCGACCUGGUCCUCAACUGACGCUGAGGUACGAAAGCUAGGGGAGCGAAUGGG